rnacentral:tRNA from 1 species
GGUGAGGUGGGUGAGUGGCUUAAACCAGCAGUUUGCUAAACUGCCGUGCGGGAAACCGUACCGGGGGUUCAAAUCCCCCCCUCACCG